GCUGCCUUCAGCAGCACACACACUGAAAUCGGGAUGACACAGAGUAAGAUUAGCAUGUCCCCUGCACAUGGAGGACACGCAAACACGUGAGACCUUUCCUAGUAUU